AGAGUUUGAUCCUGGCUCAGGAUGAACGCUGGCGGCGUGCUUAACACAUGCAAGUCGAACGAAGCACUUUAUUUGAUUUCCUUCGGGACUGAUUAUUUUGUGACUGAGUGGAGGACGGGUGAGUAACGCGUGGGUAACCUGCCUUGUACAGGGGGAUAACAGUUGGAAACGGCUGCUAAUACCGCAUAAGCGCACAGCAUCUCAUGAUGCAGUGUGAAAAACUCCGGUGGUAUAAGAUGGACCCGCGUAGGAUUAGAUAGUUGGUGAGGUAACGGCUCACCAAGUCAACGAUCUGUAGCCGAACUGAGAGGAUGAUCGGCCGCAUUGGGACUGAGACACCGCCCAUACUCCUACAGGAGGCAGCAGUGAGGAAUAUUGCGCAAUGGGGGCAACCCUGACGCAGCAACGCCGCGUGCAGGAAGAACGUCUUCUGAUUGUAAACUGUUGUCGCAAGGGAAGAAGACAGUGACGGUACCUUGUGAGAAAGUCACGGCUAACUACGUGCCAGCAGCCGCGGUAAUACGUAGGUGACAAGCGUUGUCCGGAUUUACUGGGUGUAAAGGGCGCGUAGGCGGACUGUCAAGUCAGUCGUGAAAUACCGGGGCUUAACCCCGGGGCUGCGAUUGAAACUGACAGCCUUGAGUAUCGGAGAGGAAAGCGGAAUUCCUAGUGUAGCGGUGAAAUGCGUAGAUAUUAGGAGGAACACCAGUGGCGAAGGCGGCUUUCUGGACGACAACUGACGCUGAGGCGCGAAAGUGUGGGGAGCAAACAGGAUUAGAUACCCUGGUAGUCCACACCGUAAACGAUGGAUACUAGGUGUAGGAGGUAUCGACCCCUUGUGUCCCUCAGUUAACACAAUAAGUAUCCCACCUGGGGAGUACGUCCGCAAGGUUGAAAUUCAAAGGAAUUGACGGGGGCCCGCCCAAGCAGUGGAGUAUGUGGUUUAAUUGGAAGCAACGCGAAGACCCUUACCUGGGCUUGACAUCCUUGGAAUCGAGUAGAGAUACUUGAGUUCCUUCGGGAAUCAGGUGACAGGUGGUGCAUGGUUGUCUUCAGCUCGUGUCGUGAGAUGUUGGGUUAAUUCCCGCAACGAGCGCAACCCCUAUUGUCAGUUCCCAUCAUUAAGUUGGGCACUCUGGCGAGACUGCCGGUGACAAAUCGGAGGAAGGUGGGGACGACGUCAAAUCAUCAUGCCCCUUAUGCCCAGGGCUACACACGUACUACAAUGGCGGAUACCAAAGUGCAGCGAAACCGUGAGGUGGAGCGAAUCACAAAACUCGGUCUCAGUUCAGAUUGCAGUCUGCAACUCGCCUGCAUGAAGUUGGAAUUGCUAGUAAUCGCGGAUCAGAAUGCCGCGGUGAAUACGUUCCCGGGCCUUGCACUCACCGCCCGUCA
rnacentral:rRNA from 1 species